rnacentral:lncRNA from 1 species
UUUCUUUUGACAUUACCCUGGCCUAGAUGACACCCGUGAGUGGGGAGGGAAUGAUCAUUUUACAGGUACAGUUGGUGACUUGUUGGUGACUAUUGACCUGUUGGUGACUCUUGGUUCCUGUUGGUGACUUGGUUCAGAGAUAUGGGUCUCAGAUGACUUUGGGUCUCAGAUGACUUUGUGGUUCCGAAUACAAGCCGAAGCUUUGAACCUGUGCUCCGUGAUACACAGCCAGCCAGUCAUUGCAUCAUUUGCAUCAUAGCAUGUUUGUUUUUAAAAAAAAAUGAAAAGAAGAAAGAAAAGAAAAGAAAAAAAGCUAAUCUCCU